rnacentral:lncRNA from 1 species
AUCUCUCUCACUCUCUUUUGAAGUAGUUCUAUCUUUUUUUCUUUUUUCUUUUUUUUAUCAAGGUACGUGAUUAAAUUAUUAUUUUAUAUACGCAACAUUUGCAAGAGUGAUAAUUAAUCCAUAUGAUCAUUGCAAUCAUCUCUUGAUGGUAUUGCUUAUUGAAAUAUAUUUUGAUGAUCGUACCAUCAAGGUUUGCCAUGGGCCAUUAUGUGGACUGAGCAAUUUUUAAACUUAGGACAUGGCAGGGUCCUCUUCGUUUUCAUUUCUUGUGUUUGCUCUGCCUAGUAGCUAGCCCCAGUCCAUUUAAAUUUUUAAUGUGUGAAUUUAUUUUAUAUGUAAAAAUAGUAAUUAUAUAUAUAUAUAAUUUAUUUGACUUAAAAUUUUUAAUAAGUCUGAUAAUUUCUCUUUCGAUAUAUUGUGCAGUUACUAUCAGAGCUCCUCUCAAUGGAAGCAAAGGCAAUGAAGAAUCGGGUUAUUAUUGUGGUAGCAAUGGUAGUUGGGUUCCUAAUUUUGGCCCUGGGCACCGUGGAAUGUCAUUGUGGAAUUGAAAUGCCCAAUUGCACACCAGCUAAAUGCACUAAUGCAUGCAAGCUUGUCCAGCAUGAGAAGUUCAAGAGUGCAAGCUGUGUAGUUCCACCUGCAGGAAAUUAUUGUCUCUGCCUAGGUGACUGCCCUCCCAUCAACUAGACACGUUGGCUAUGAUGAUGAGUCGUGCAAACUAAACAUGUCCAUGUAGUUUUAAUAAAAUAAAUAAAGAGUCUUUUAACCGUUAUAAUUUUAGAUGACGAC